GGCCUGAGAGGGUGAUCCCCCACACUGGUACUGAGACACGGCCCAGACUCCUACGGGAGGCAGCAGUGAGGAAUAUUGGACAAUGGGUGCGAGCCUGAUCCAGCCAUCCCGCGUGAAGGACGACGGCCCUUUGGGUUGUAAACUUCUUUUGUAUAGGGAUAAACCUACUCUCGUGAGAGUAGUUGAAGGUACUAUACGAAUAAGCACCGGCUAACUCCGUGCCAGCAGCCGCGGUAAUACGGAGGGUGCAAGCGUUAUCCGGAUUUAUUGGGUUUAAAGGGUCCGUAGGCGGAUCUGUAAGUCAGUGGUGAAAUCUCACAGCUUAACUGUGAAACUGCCAUUGAUACUGCAGGU
rnacentral:rRNA from 1 species